rnacentral:lncRNA from 1 species
UUCACUCCGAUAGUAGUAUUGAUCGUGUCAAUGCAGAGGAAAUGAAUACAUUUACAUACUAUUUAAUCUUAUAAGUGAACUAGAUAAAACGGAAUCUUGCUUUGAGUCACGACUUUUUUCGAGUCAGUUUAUGUUGUAAUCGCUGAAAUUUGAUUAAUUGCAAGCUCUAAUCUCAGGUUCAUCUCUUCACUCUUUCUUAACUUGUUCUAGUAUGGAUCAAAAUGUGAUGAUGUUUGAGACUUUGUUAGAUUAGGAGUGGUUAUGAGCUGGUUAAUGAGAAAUCAGUCUGUGGUGCAAUUUUUCUUGAAUUCUGUCUUCUUCCCUUCUUUCUAUUAGUUAAUCCCCUUAAAAGGGUUAGCACAGAAUUGUCCAGUAGAGAUUUGUUUGUCUGGUGUUGAAGCGUGAAAACAGUCAUUCCAAAAUACUUUAAACAAUAUUAGAAACUUAGUUUGAUGUUCUAAUAUUUUACAGUAUAGAAGAGUUUUUUAAUGUGCUUUAAUGCAAAACAAAUUUGUGUAUAGUCAAGAAAAGAAGUUUGAACUUAAGAUGCAGAAGUAGAGAAAAUAUGCGGACUAUUCAAAUUUGAUUGAAAUCACAAGCUUUCCAUGUCCCACCUUGAUCCAAAAAGAUGAAGAAGAGCGAAUUAGCGGUUACAGCUAACGAGCAUCAAGAUUCAGAUCAGAGUCUGUAGGAAGAACCAACCAAGACUCAAGAUCAAGCUUCAGAAGAUUUAUAGAUAAGAAUCUUGUAACUCGUAGUUGAUAGGCUUUGGUAGUUUAGCUUUUUAUUUUUCAUUUUGGUGUAAUAAGUAGCUCAGCAAGCAGAAAUAGCAACAACAACAGAGAAAUCACAGAUUCCUGGUAGUCCUAGCUACCAAAACUUCCAAAACUACACCGACCUGAUUUUUUAUAACCAAGGAUAUGUAGGCAAUCUCCGAAACAAGGUUCGGUCAAACAUUUUCAAAAUGCUUCCAAAUGGAGUUUCAAACAGGAAAAAUUACUUGUAGUUGCUCACUUUACUUUUGCCCAAAAAUUCUUUAUAUUUCUGAGCAAAGAGGGACAAUUGUGAGUAUGUAAUUUUUUCCCUAUAUGAGUUAUUCCUACAAAUCUCAAAGAAAUAGAUUUUUCUUUUAAUUAUUUUCCAUUUUAGGAAUUUUUGUAGAAUGUGCUUAAUUAUUUACAUUUUUC